GGAAAGAUCAGGAAAAUCUCUGUCCAUUUGUAAUAGUGUUUUGCAUUAGAUUAAUAACAAACAUCAACACUGACAGCUUGUGUUUUUGUUUGAUGUUAGGAAUAUCUCAUAAUUCAUUCCCACAUGAGAGACUGUUUAUUUUGAUGUGAAUGAUGUAAAUGGAGUUGUUUGACGAGGUUUUCUGUGUGUUUCAGUGGACUGAAGGCCCUCCUCCUGUGCAGAUUCAAGCUCAGAAUGGACCCACCACCAGCCUGGCCAGCCUGCUUUAAACACACACACACACACUCACUCACUCACUCACACACUCACACACACACACACACACACACACUCUCUCUCUCUCUCUCACACACACACACGUCUUCGGUUGUGUUUGAUUGGCUGUGUUCAGAGCGAGGACAGACAGGGGUCAGAGGUCAAAGGAAAUGUGAUUUAGCAUUAUUUUGUGGUGAAGAUGGAAGUGUUUUCAUGUGAUUGGCCCUCGUAUCAGAGGUGUCACAGACGACAGGAAGAGGAAGUCAUGUGACCAGCAGUUUCUGUUGAGAGGAGCAGGACUUCAGCGUUUGGACCGACAGCAGCUUUAACACUGAGUCUGGCGAGCGGAUCGGAUCUCAGAGCUGUCUGUGAAGCUGUGAUGUGUGACGGCAGUCUCGGCUUCUCUAGGCGCUGAUAUUUUUACACGCGUCUCAUUUUGUGCUCAAACGCGCUUGUUUUGUUCUGCACGUCUCAUGUACAAACGCUGUGAGGACUGUCUGUUCUUUUAAAGGUAUUUACCUCUUUUCCUCUGUAGUUUUAACAGAUACAUUUAUUAAAUUUUGUAAAGUUUGAAUGUUUAUAUACCACAUUUAACAAUAUUAUAAUCUUUGUCAUUUUGAUUUGGAAUAGCCUUCAUUUGUAUAAAUGUUAUGAAAACUUGUGUCUGUAGUUUAUCAGACGCUUUGAUCAUUAGGUAGUAAAGCUCAUUCUGCUCUCAGAUCAGCCGCCGUUCUUUCUAAUAACUCCGUUUUUAAACUCUCGUAUUAUUUCUUUGUGUCUGCUUCAAAAUAAUCAGGAUUUUUAAAAUAAAAUUGGAGAAGUGUA